rnacentral:rRNA from 1 species
AAUAGAUACCCAGGUAGUCCACGCCGUAAACGAUGAGUGCUAAGUGUUAGAGGGUUUCCGCCCUUUAGUGCUGCAGCUAACGCAUUAAGCACUCCGCCUGGGGAGUACGGCCGCAAGGCUGAAACUCAAAGGAAUUGACGGGGGCCCGCACAAGCGGUGGAGCAUGUGGUUUAAUUCGAAGCAACGCGAAGAACCUUACCAGGUCUUGACAUCCUUACGACCUCCCUAGAGAUAGGGAUUUCCCCUUCGGGGGACGGAAGUGACAGGUGGUGCAUGGUUGUCGUCAGCUCGUGUCGUGAGAUGUUGGGUUAAGUCCCGCAACGAGCGCAACCCUUGAUCUUAGUUGCCAGCAUUCAGUUGGGCACUCUAAGGUGACUGCCGGUGACAAACCGGAGGAAGGUGGGGAUGACGUCAAAUCAUCAUGCCCCUUAUGACCUGGGCUACACACGUGCUACAAUGGAUGGUACAAAGGGCAGCGAAGCCGCGAGGUCGAGCCAAUCCCAUAAAACCAUUCUCAGUUCGGAUUGCAGG